rnacentral:misc_RNA from 1 species
GAUGAAGAACGUAGCGAAAUGCGAUAAGUAGUGUGAAUUGCAGAAUUCAGUGAAUCAUCGAAUCUUUGAACGCACAUUGCGCCCCAUGGUAUUCCGUGGGGCAUGCCUGUUCGAGCGUCAUUUACCCCCUCAAGCUCCGCUUGGUGUUGGGCGUCUGUCCCGCUUCGCGCGCGGACUCGCCCCAAAGGUAUUGGCAGCGGUCGUGCCAGCUUCUCGCGCAGCACAUUGCGCUUCUCGAGGCACCGGUGGGCCCGCGUCCAUCAAGCUCACCCCCCCAGUUUGACCUCGGAUCAGGUAGGGAUACCCGCUGAACUUAAGCAUAUCAAUAAGCGGAGG